rnacentral:lncRNA from 10 species
CAAAAUUAGCUGGGCGUGGUGGCGCAUGCCUGUAAUCCCAGCUACUCCGGAGGCUGAGGCAGAAGAAUCGGGAAGCGGAGGCGGAGGUUGAGGCAGUGCGUGAAAGGCCCCUGGGAACCACAGAGCCUCUGGAGAGGGCUUUACAUGAAAGACAGAGAGGAGAGGAAGAGCAAAGACCAGCAGCUGGGAAAAUAUGUGAGUCAGACAGGCGAGGUUAAAAGAGGCUGGGGUGAGCUGGGUGGGGCUGGGUGCUGUGGCACACACCUGUAAUCCCAGCACUUUCGGAGGCUGAGGCAGGCGAGGUUACAAAAAAUAUUCUGCUUAUCAUCAACACCAUCACUGUCAUCAUCAUCCCAAGACAAAAUGGGUAAGAUUUUCUGCAUCUGUGUUCAUCAGGGUUGUUGGUGAAUAGUCUGUCUGUCUUUCUUUCUUUCUCUUUCUUUCUUUCUUUUCUUUCUU